CCCUCCAGAAACGUAACACACUGACGUUGAGGUGAUGGUGGAGUAAAAGUACAAGCAGAAGAUUUUGUUCCAACUUCCCCAUAGAUGCAGUUCACAUGAUUAUUUUAUGAUUCAGAAAUAAACAUUCCUACAGACACAUCAUGAGAGAUCGGUGGUGACCGGGAAGGGAAAGGAGGACUUGGACAUGGGAAUGAGACGUCCAUUAAACUCUUGCCAUAUGUGAAGCACCAUAGAGAGAAAAUACUGGCCACAUCUCCAUCUUAGACGAGGAGCUCCAUGGAGGGGCGCCAUGGCUCACACCUGUAAUCCCAGCACUUUGGGAGGCCGAGACAGGUAGAUCACGAGGUCAAGAGAUCGAGACCAUCCUGACCAACAGAUGAAACCCGUCUCUACUAAAUCCCAGCACUUUGGGAGGCCCAGGUGGGUGGAUCAUGAGGUAAAGAGAUCAAGACAAUCCUGACCAACAGGUGAAACUCGUCUCUACUAAAAAUACAAAAAUUAGCUGGAUAUGGUGGCGCAUGCCUGUAGUCCCAGUUACUCAGGAAGCUGAGGCAGGAGAAUUGCUUGAACCUGGGAGGCAGAGGUUGCAGUGAGCCAAGAUUGCGCCACUGCACUCCAGCCUGGCAACAGAGUGUUACUCUGUCUCGAAAAACAAACAAACAAAAAAACACUAACGUGUAUUGAAUGUUAUGUGCUGGCAUUGAACCAAAUGCUUUACAUAUAUCUUUGCUUUUAAGACACAUAACAACCUUAUGAGGUGGGCACUGGUAUUACUCCUACUUUAUAGAUAAGGAUACUGAAAGUUAAGAAAAUAAGUAAUGCAAACUCAUACAGCUCUGAAGUAUCAGAAUUCCUGAAUUCCAAAUUCGGAAUCACUGCCUUGCCGUGGACUGCCAUCAGGGCCAGUUCUCUGAGGCAACCUGAAUACAGCACAUGCCAUUAAACAACCUAGCUUCGUAGCUCCAUUAUGUCACUAGGCUUUUCCCCCAGUCCCUCCCCCUGUUAUCCAAGACAACAGAUAAG